rnacentral:rRNA from 1 species
CCUACGGGGGGCUGCAGUGGGGAAUAUUGCACAAUGGGCGCAAGCCUGAUGCAGCCAUGCCGCGUGUGUGAAGAAGGCCUUCGGGUUGUAAAGCACUUUCAGCGGGGAGGAAGGCGGUGAGGUUAAUAACCUCAUCGAUUGACGUUACCCGCAGAAGAAGCACCGGCUAACUCCGUGCCAGCAGCCGCGGUAAUACGGAGGGUGCAAGCGUUAAUCGGAAUUACUGGGCGUAAAGCGCACGCAGGCGGUCUGUCAAGUCGGAUGUGAAAUCCCCGGGCUCAACCUGGGAACUGCAUUCGAAACUGGCAGGCUAGAGUCGUGUAGAGGGGGGUAGAAUGCCAGGUGUAGCGGUGAAAUGCGUAGAGAUCUGGAGGAAUACCGGUGGCGAAGGCGGCCCCCUGGACAAAGACUGACGCUCAGGUGCGAAAGCGUGGGGAGCAAACAGGAUUAGAUACCCGAGUAGUC